rnacentral:rRNA from 1 species
UACAGAGGGUGCGAGCGUUAAUCGGAAUUACUGGGCGUAAAGCGUGCGUAGACGGCUAUCUAAGUCGGGUGUGAAAGCCCCGGGCUCAACCUGGGAAUUGCAUUCGAGACUGAAUAGCUAGGGUACGGUAGAGGGAAGCGGAAUUUCCGGUGUAGCGGUGAAAUGCGUAGAUAUCGGAAGGAACAUCAGUGGCGAAAGCGGCUUCCUGGACCAGUACCGACGUUCAGGCACGAAAGCGUGGGGAGCAAAUAGG